rnacentral:tRNA from 1 species
GACCGCGUAGCUCAGUUGGAAGAGCAUUGGGCUAGUAUCCAAAGGUCGUAGGUUCGAAUCCCACCGUUGCCG